rnacentral:tRNA from 1 species
GGAUCGCUAGCUCAACUGGCAGAGCAGGGGACUCUUAAUCCCAAGGUUCCGGGUUCGACUCCCGGGCGAUCCA